GGGGGGAGCGGUCGAAGGUGGGAUUGGCGAUUGGGACGAAGUCGUAACAAGGUAGCCGUACCGGAAGGUGCGGCUGGAUCACCUCCUUUCUAAGGAGCUCCUGUUUUGCUUGUGAUCGUGGUGGUUAUGAGUGUUGUGGGGGUUUUUAGUGGUUGGCAACAUUGGAGUUGGCAUGCUGUUGGGGUGUGGGGUAACGCCUUGGCUGCCUGCGCGUGGGCCUGCUUGUGUGGUGGGUUUGUGUGUGGUGUUGGUGUGGUGGUUGAGAAUUGUAUAGUGGAUGCGAGCAUCUUUUGGUUUUUGUAAGUGUGUAAGGGCGUUCGGUGGAUGCCUUGGUACACGGAGCCGAUGAA
rnacentral:misc_RNA from 1 species